rnacentral:rRNA from 1 species
GACGAACGCUGGCGGCGUGCCUAAUACAUGCAAGUCGAGCGCUGAAGGCUUGUACUUGUACCAACUGGAUGAGCAGCGAACGGGUGUGUACCGCGUGUGGAAUCUGCCUUUGUGCGGGGUACCAUAUUUGGACACGAAUUCUUAUACCGCAUAAAAUCUUUAUACACAAGUUUUAAUUUUGAAAUACGCAAUUUCAUCAUUCAAUGACGAUUUCUCGUUGUAUUAGCUAGUUGGUGAGGUAAAGGCGCAACAAGGCGAUGAUACAGAGCAGAACUGAGAGGGUGGUCGGCCACAUUGGGAGUGAGACACGGCCCAAAGUGCUACGGGAAGCAGCAGUAGGGAAACGUCGGGCAUGGGCGAAAGACUGACCGAGAAGGGCCGAAUGAGUGAAGAAGGUUUUCGGGUCGUAGAACUCUGUUGGUAGAGAAGAAAGUUGGUGAGAGUGGAAAGCACAUCGAGUGACGGUAACUAGCAAGAAAGGGACGGCUAACUACGUG